GCUGGGAUGGCUCAGUUGGUAAAGCAUGAGAGCGUGCUGGGUUCGAGCCCCACGUUGAGCA
rnacentral:tRNA from 1 species